rnacentral:lncRNA from 1 species
UAAGGAUCCGGUGUUGCCCUGAGCUGUGGUGUAGGUUGCAGAUGCAGCUCAGAUCUGGAGUUGCUGUGGCUGUGGCAUAGGUCAGCUCCAAUUCGACCCCUAGCCUGGGAACUUCCAUAGCUGCGGGGGGAUGCAGCCCAAAAAAGAAAAAAAAGAAAGAAAGAAAAAAAAAGAAAGAAAUGCAGCCUGUAGUAUUGUUGGAAUUCUUAUUUGCCAAGGAAGAAUCAUCUUCAUUUUUGUAGGGAAUAUGGAAAAGCAGUGUGGCUCAUUAGAGCCAUUAGAACAGAACACUGAGAACCAGAGGUUUGAGUCAUGAGCAGAAACCUUUAUAUCCCAAAUCUGGACUAAAGACAAAGGUAACUUAAAAUUGGUAAGUGGAAGAAGGAAGCUGUAAAUAUCAAAGAAAGCAUAGUGACUAAAAAAUUCAUGCAUGUUAUCUCCUUUUUUCCCCUACUUUCCUUAUUGUUUUGUAUAAGAAGCAUUAGUGAAAGUGAAAAUGGCAACUUAGUUUUUAGAACAUAGCCAGAUGGGAUUGCAAUGGAACAAGAAGAUAACUUAGUAUGAAUCUAUGAAGAAUAGGAAAAAUAAGAGAACUUAUCUUCCGUUUUGGAACAGAAAAGAACAUUUGCAUUUAGACAAAAUAUAGUUGUAGCAUAUUAAGCAGAAGCGAACCCCCAUUACUAUUUUAUGGUAUAAUGAUUAAUUUCAUAUAAAAAUAUGAAGUGGAUACCUCAAAGCAAAAACACUUCCUUAUAUCGAAUGUAUUAUUUGAAGAAUGUAGAAGCAGGAGUUCCCGUCGUGGCGCAGUGGUUAACAAAUCUGACUAGGAACCAUGAGAUUGCGG